AUUGAACGCUGGCGGCAGGCUUAACACAUGCAAGUCGAGCGAGCGGCGGAAGGGUGAGUAAUGACUGGGAAACUGCCUGAGGGAUGGGGAUAACUACUGGAAACGGUAGCUGAAACCGCCUACCAUCAGAUGUGCACAGAUUGGAUUUGCUGGGGGGGGUGGUAAUGGCUCACCUAGGCGACGAUCACUAGCUGGUCUGAGAGGAUGACCAGCCACACUGGAACUGAGACACUGCCCAGAUUCCUACGGGAGGCAUCAGUGGGGAAUAUUGGACAAUGGGCGCAAGCCUGAUGCAGCCAUGCCGCGUGUGUGAAGAAGGCCUUCGGUUUGUAAAGCACUUUCAGCGAGGAGGCGUUACUCGCAGAAGAAGCACCGGCUAACUCCGUGCCAGCAGCCGCGGUAAUUC
rnacentral:rRNA from 1 species